UACGGGGGGGGCAAGCGUUGUUCGGAAUUACUGGGCGUAAAGGGUUUGUAGGUGGCUUGUUAAGUCAGACGUGAAAUCCCUCAGCUUAACUGGGGAACUGCGUCUGAGACUGGUGAGCUUGAGUGCAGGAGAGGAACGCGGAAUUCCAGGUGUAGCGGUGAAAUGCGUAGAUAUCUGGAGGAACACCGGUGGCGAAGGCAGCCCCCUGGGCUAACACUGACGCUCAGGCACGAAAGCGUGGGGAGCAAACAGG
rnacentral:rRNA from 1 species